rnacentral:lncRNA from 1 species
AUGGUGAGUACAGGAAAAGAUGGAUACAGCUACAGACAAGGCAGAGUUCUAUUCUGUUGUUAUUGGCCGGUAUGCAUCAGGACAAGAGUCAAAAUAGCCUUUAUUAGCAAUAAGUCAAAGCAGACCAAUCUUGCAUUUCCUUCCUUCCACAGCCCCCACGGCAGCAGUUCUUCCAUUCGGCAGGGCACGUCCCGGAACUCGCUGAGCCUAAUGGAGCGGCUCACUAUUCCUCUGGGAGCCCUGGACUUCGAGGGAGCGACCACCCCAUCGCCGCCGCGGCAAGCAUCUAAGGCCCCGGAGAAGCCCAAGAAAAAGCAGGCCUCCAAAGCGGGAAGUAAACCACCCCCCACUAAGGCCCCAUCCAAAGCCAGGGAGGGCUCCAAGAGGGGCAAGCCACAUGCCUCUGACGAGCGGCCAGCGGCGAAAGAGGGACAUUGGGAGAUCCCACCUCCCUCACCUACGUCACCGUCCCCGCUUCUGGAGAACCCCGCGCGGGACCGCGAUCACCACCCAGAUGCGGCGGAGCCUUUCCCCCGCAGGCGGACAGAGGCACUCCCAACACAGCCGAGCUCACCUCCCUUGCCUAGCCAGCUAGAGGGUGGAUCCCGUACUAGCGCAGCUUCUGCCCUUUUCGCCCCUGCUUUAGCCGGGCGGGCGUUACCACCUCCUCCCUCACCAUCUAUCUCCUCCGGGCGAUCCUCUCCCCCCCACAAGCGGACGGAGAAGAGAAAGCACGUGCGCCCAGAGUACAGAAGACACCACCCUGCACGGGAUGUCGAGGGACCCCACUCCCCCCGCCACCGAAGUAGGUCACCAGCACAUGCCCCCAUCUUUAUUGAGGUUGACCGCAGGGGCUUCCGGCACCGCAGGACGUGGGAGGACUCAUCCUCAGAUCACUCGGCAGGCUAUGAGAGGAGCAGGCACUGUAAGAGGGUCCGGUACAUCUACGCUUCCACGUUGCCUUCAUCCUCCUCCCCCUCCCCCCCCGACGCCAGCACAGCCCCCAUUACACCAGGGAAGCUAGCCAUAAGAGGAGCAAGCACCGCAACAUCCACCUCCCCAUGCCAUCUGCACAGGAGGAAAGGGGGAAGGAUACGGACGCGCAGGCAACGCUGA